UUUUCUACUAGAGGAAUGCAAGAGAUUGAUAUGUGUGCAUGCCGAAAGCGGAGAAUCAGGGCUAGUCUGCAAUGAACUGAAUUCGGGUCUUAGCCAUUCUCUUAGACGGCCAUAAUUAACUUAUCUGUUGACAUUCGGAUCCCCCUUCUUGAACAAACAAUCUAUCGGGUAAUGUUACUGGAAAUCAUACACAUUUUUACCAGGAGAAACCGGACAAUCAUAGAAUUCUCUUUCAAUGACUGGGUGCAUUCAUAUUUGAAAAAGAAAAAUAUAUGACAAAGGAAUGCUAUAAAUCAUAUUUGACCAAACCGACCUCACGCUGAGACUAAUCAUGCCGUCUUUGCAGCAACACAAGGUUACAAAAUAAACAGCCAUCGAUUUCUUUCAGUGACCUGGGAAGAACAGUUAUGAUAUCAGCAGGUAAUUAAAAGCUGCAUCUUUUCAUUUAUUGCGUUGUAACAAUGGAGGCUAUACACAAGGGGAGCUUCGACAUCAAGUCUCGAUACUUGUUGGCAUUUUUACAAUUUGGACCUGCACAUUUUUCACGUGGUGGAGGAUAACUGCAAAUCAAAUCGCCACAUUGUAAAUCUCCAUAGUUGUAACAAUGGAGGCUAUACACAAGGGGAGCUUCGACAUCAAGUCUCGAUACUUGUAGGCAUUUGUACAAUUUGGACCUGCACAUUUUUCACGGGGUGGAGGAUAACUGCAAAUCAAAUCGCCACAUUGUAAAUCCCACGAAGAAGGUAAGGAUAGUUGUAAUUAACAAUCAACAAAAUGCCAAUACUUAGUCUGCAGAGCAAAAUAUAUUGCCAAUAUUUACGGUCUACAGAGCAUUGUAGAGACAAAACUUGGGGAGAUGAGAAGGUGAACUUGUACCUGCACGACACUGAAUUAAAUAUGUGUGGCAAACCAAUGUCAUCAGAGAAAAUAAGCCAAAGUUCCAGUCGGACCAAUGACCCAUCUAACAGUAUUUGGUCCAACCGAUCCAUCAUGGAAGCCUUUGACGGAAACAGGUAAAAUUUAUUCUUGAUUAGAAUGCUGCUAAAGACCAUGGGAUGGAGAAGAUAAAGGCUGCCUGUCUAUUUUCCAAAUACCUGAACCACUUCAUCGUGCCGCUUCUUAAUCUUUCUUCCUUCUUUCUUUCAGAAUCCAGGCAGCAUAUUUUUCUGAUUGCCUCAGCCAAAAAUAAAUGAAGUUAGACUGUUCUCCCAUCCAUUGCCAAUAAGUUGUAAAACUACCAUAUGGCAUGAUUAGCACCCCUCAGCCUCCCUAGCUGCCUUCUUUGAUUGUAUUCUACGCCUCUGAGCAGCCUCAGCUUUCUUUAAUUGCUGCUCUACUUCAGAGAGCUUAGUCUUUUGUUCUGCCAUCAACAGACCAGUAAAGGAAACAAAAUAGGUUUAGCAUCAAGACACUAUUACUCAAGGUGUAAAAUAAUUUUAUCUUAUAUCAUUCCCUAUCCAAGAUGUAAAAUGAGACUGAUCCAAAAGAACAUAUAGACAGAGAAACAAUCACUUUUAGGAGGGGGUGAAGGUAAAACAUUUGAGAACUCGAGAAGACUGGUGCCAGGCACAAGAAAAUCAUCUUUGACUGUCUGAAGAGCCUGUUCAUGUGUGAUUGUAGUUGAUUCAUUCCUUCCUCCAACGAAUCCCAGCUUCUUGAUUGUGUAUCUAGGUUCAUCAACUUGAUUCAUUUCUUCUUGCUAAUAAUUCUUAUCCUCUUGCCUGCCAUCUGAAACCAUUGAUAUCUCUUUUUCUCUCCUUAUAAGCACUGCGUCUUCCAAGGUAACGUACUUCCUCGUCUAUGUUAUCAUCUUCAUCAAAUUCCACAUCCAUUGCACGCCUCUUAGGAACUUGAUUGCUCUUGCGAACUGCUUCAAAAUGGAAUGUUCUGUUCACAUCAACACUUUCACCAGACAUCUUUCUUCCCGAAGAAUUUCCCUUUUUAAAACUAGAAUCAGCGUCAUAAAACUUAAGCAUCAAAUAUUGCACAGUUUACACCACAAAAACACGGUGUAGAUAUUUAUUGAAAAGGGGAAAGGUGGGGAGACAUUUGAAGACUAUAUCAAGACCAUUGCUCUUUUAAAGCCAAGAUAUUAGUACAUUCAAAAAGCUACGUGACAAAUGUAAGACUAGAAUGACCCUAAUGAGUAGCUUAUGAAUUAUUAUAGCACGGAAUUUGAAAGAGGCCUCGUCACGAGAGAAAGGGAGAGAGAAGAUUACAGCAAUCAUGUAUCAAGUCCUUUGAAGAAUUUUAAAGGAGUUUCUUUUGAUUACUUUUCAGAUUCCAUAUGAUUAAGCUUGGUAUGUUGUGUAUGAACUUGGAACAUUAGGUUUCUAGUUUGUAAAAUCAGUGGAACAAGGGAUAGGAAAAGGUGGUCCCUGAAAUAUUUUUCUGGAUCAAAACGUGUAAAGAACAUCUUAAUAUUCUUGAAGGAAGUGAUAAAAUAGCAGUAUAUCGGAAGAUAAAUUAACUUCGUGUGCGAAAGUUGAUUGGGAGGCUAACUAACCAUGCAAAAAGUUCAAAAAAUCAAAUUUUUUUCACCCAAAACAGUAGUAAAAUAAGAGCAUUUACAGGAUAGAAAACAUAAUACAUUCUUCUCCUUUCUUCUCUUCUAGAAUUUGUUAUUGAGUAUUCUUUGAUGUGAACUUUAGAAAUUGUCCAUCUUGAUUCUUGGAGAGUUUUGGUUAAUCCUCAAAGUUCCUUGCUCUAAACCCUUCAACAGAUUAUUCAAGGUGGUGGUGGCAAAUAAUACUUAAGAAAAUAAAAGGAAUUUGUUUGCAUCAAAGCCUCUGAUUUAACCCCAUAUUCCCUUACAUAUUAAAUACUAUAACAAAAGAAUAAAAAACGUGAGAACUAAAAUUUUUUGAAUUCAUGACUUAAUAAGUUGAUUUGUUGGAAGGAAACGAGCAUUAUUUCCCGGAGUCUAACCAUGGUUUGGUUUAUAUUUUUGAAACUAUUUAUAUUUGUUUUUGUAUUUAACAAAAAAAAAAAACUUGUAACUGAGCGUGCCCAAUGGUAUAAAAUUUGACCGAAAAAUAGCCCUUCGACAAAACAACUUCAAUUGUUUUGUCGAUUAGAAUAUUGACUUGAAGCGAUCCUCUCUGAAUACUACUAAGGAUUUAACCAUCGCUCCUGCUAUCUAUUAGCACAAUCACAC